rnacentral:misc_RNA from 1 species
UCUCCGUUGGUGAACCAGCGGAGGGAUCAUUAUCGAGUUAUUCAACUCCCAAACCCUAUGUGAACUUACCACUUGUUGCUUCGGCGCGCGCUUCGGCGCCGCCGAGGACACUUAAACUCUUUGUUUUUAUAAGCAUUUCUGAGUGGCCGAAAGGCAAAAAUACAAAUGAAUCAAAACUUUCAACAACGGAUCUCUUGGUUCUGGCAUCGAUGAAGAACGCAGC